UACGGAGGGGGCUAGCGUUGUUCGGAAUUACUGGGCGUAAAGCGCACGUAGGCGGCUUUGUAAGUUAGAGGUGAAAGCCCGGAGCUCAACUCCGGAAUUGCCUUUAAGACUGCAUCGCUUGAAUCAUGGAGAGGUGAGUGGAAUUCCGAGUGUAGAGGUGAAAUUCGUAGAUAUUCGGAAGAAACACCAGUGGCGAAGGCGACUCACUGGACAUGUAUUGACGCUGAGGAGCGAAAGCGUGGGGAGCGAACAGG
rnacentral:rRNA from 1 species